GAUGAAGAACGUAGCGAAAUGCGAUAAGUAAUGUGAAUUGCAGAAUUCAGUGAAUCAUCGAAUCUUUGAACGCACAUUGCGCCCCUUGGUAUUCCGAGGGGCAUGCUUGUUCGAGCGUCAUUAUAACCCUCAAGCUCAGCUUGGUGUUGGGGCCUGCUGCAGUGGCAGCCCUUAAAAUCAGUGGCGGCGCCAUCUGGCUCUAAGCGUAGUAAUUCUUCUCGCUAUGGAGUCCUGGUGGAUGCUUGCCAUCAACCCCCAAUUUUUCUAUGGUUGACCUCGGAUCAGGUAGGGAUACCCGCUGAACUUAAGCAUAUCAAUAAGCGGAGGA
rnacentral:misc_RNA from 1 species